rnacentral:tRNA from 1 species
AAGCAAGUAGCAUAAAAUAAGUGUAUUUAGUUUCGGCCUAAAAGGUGGUUGUUAAAACUCUUGCAUA